rnacentral:rRNA from 1 species
GAUGAACGCUGGCGGCGUGCCUAAUACAUGCAAGUCGAGCGAACAGAUGAGGAGCUUGCUCCUCUGACGUUAGCGGCGGACGGGUGAGUAACACGUGGAUAACCUACCUAUAAGACUGGGAUAACUUCGGGAAACCGGAGCUAAUACCGGAUAAUAUAUUGAACCGCAUGGUUCAAUAGUGAAAGACGGUUUUGCUGUCACUUAUAGAUGGAUCCGCGCCGCAUUAGCUAGUUGGUAAGGUAACGGCUUACCAAGGCAACGAUGCGUAGCCGACCUGAGAGGUGAAUGGGCCACCUGGAACCUGGGCACGGGCCCGACACCCUACGGGGGGCAGCAGUAGGGAACUUUCCCAAAGGGGCAAAAGCCGGACGGGGCAACGCGGCGGGAGUGAGGAAGGCCUUCGGUUCGUAAAACCUGUUUAUUAGGAAAGAACAAAGUUGUAAGUAACGAUGCACGUCUGGACGGAACCUAACCAGAAAGCCACGGCUAACUACGU